GACAGAGGUGCCGAGCGUUAGGCGGAAUCACUGGGCUUAAAGCGUGUGUAGGCGGGCGGGCAAGUACCUUGUGAAAUCCCACGGCUCAACCGUGGAACGGCUGGGUAUACUGCCUGUCUUGAGCCAACUAGGGGCGAGCGGAACAGACGGUGGAGCGGUGAAAUGCGUAGAUAUCGUCUGGAACGCCGAAGGUGAAAACAGCUCGCUGGGGUUGUGCUGACGCUGAGACACGAAAGCCAGGGGAGCGAAACGGGG
rnacentral:rRNA from 1 species